rnacentral:rRNA from 1 species
AGGACGAACGUUGGCGGCGUGCCUUACACAUGCAAGUCGUACGCGAAAGGGGAAUCCAGCUUGCUGGGGACCCCCGGUAGAGUGGCGAACGGGAGCGUAACACGUGAGGAACCUGCCUCGGAGUGGGGAAUAACCCAGAGAAAUCUGGGCUAAUUCCGCAUGAUGCAGCGGCCCCGCAUGGGGACAGUUGUGAAAGACCGCCUCUGCUUGCAAGCGGUCGCUUCGAGAUGGUCUCGCGGCCUAUCAGCUAGUUGGCGGGGUAAUGGCCCACCAAGGCGACGACGGGUAGCCGGCCUGGAGAGGGUGUCCGGCCUCAUUGGGACUGAGACACGCCCAGACUCCUACGGGAGGCAGCAGUGAGGAAUCUUGCGCAAU